rnacentral:rRNA from 1 species
GAUUUCUGGCUUGAAACAUCUGGCCGGCCACGGUUUCGUGUGUUAGUGCUUGAUGUUCUGGCCAUCCUUCCAAUCGCUAUUGGCUAUUCUUCAUUGAAUGGUCAGUAGUAUUGGAUCUUUUACUUUGAAAAAAUUAGAGUGUUUCAAGCAGGCUUUAUGCUAUGAAUACAUUAGCAUGGAAUAAUAAUUUAGGACUUUGGCCCUAUUUUGUUGGUUUCUAGGACUGAAGUAAUGAUUGAUAGGGAUAGUUGGGGGUGCUCGAAUUCAGCGGCCAGAGGUGAAAUUCUUGGAUUCGCUGAAGACGAACUCAUGCGAAAGCAUU